GACUGUGCAAAGGUAGCAUAAUCAGUUGGCCUAUAAUUGAGGUCUCGUAUGAAUGAAUAAUUGGGUAGCAACUGUCUUAAUAUAUUUUUACGAAUUUAGUAAGCAAGUGAAAAUACUUGCUAAUAUACAAAAGACGAGAAGACCCUAGAAACUUGCGCGUAUUUUUGUUGGGGCGACAGGAUUACAAUAAACUAAUCUUAUUUUACUAGACGUAUAGCAGAAAGAUUAAGUUACUCUAGGGAUAACAGCAUAAUUUUAAUAGUUUGUGACCUCGAUGUUGGACUAGGUACAAAACUCC
rnacentral:rRNA from 1 species